CAUGUGAAAUGUCCUGGAUUACUUGCUCUGAGUCAAAUUGCAGAAUUGGCAAGAAUUCAGAGAGUGAUAUAUUUUAUUUCUGGCAGAUAUUUCCAGAAUGGUAAUUAUAUCUUUCUGAUCAAGUAAUGCUUAUCUCUUUAGUUAAUGUGCUACCUUCCUCUUAAAGUUGGUAUUUGAAUAUAUGAUACUAUGAAAAAUGUGAAAGAUGAACCAAGCACUGAGAAGAUAACCUAUUAGGUCUUUCUGUUCCUACACUGAAAUUAUUAUAUUAUUCUGUACUGAGGACAGAAAAAUUGAUGGGUGAUUUGCAAGAUGAUAUACUUUUCUUUGUUCUUGCUUUAAAAUAUGACUGGCUAAAAAUUCAUUUUUUCUUCUUGUGUUAGGAGUUUUAGUAGCUGCUGUCAACUGUCUUUUAAGUUUUCAACACAUGGUAGUUAUAUAGGACAUGAACUUGCUGUCUACAUAGUUCUUAAGUCAGGACCUAUCUGCUUUUGGUAAUACUUAGAUGAGUCCCUUUUUAUUGUUAUACCAGUUGUUAUUCAAAUUAUAAAGUUGUUACAUGGUCUUUCACUGUUUUUAUCUAUAUUUCUUCAUAGACAAUAAGGCUAAACAAUUUUUAUGUGUUCAUUAGUGCUUGUAUUUUUGCUUUAGAUUUCAAAGAGAAGAGAUAUAUUAAGUCGGAAUGGACUAGGAUUCCUUUAGAAUAAAGUGGUUCUUUAAUUUUAUUUUCCACUUAACAGUGAUCACCUCAUCUGACCUGCACAAACAUGGAGAGAUAUGGGUUGUCCCCAAUACUGACCAUGUCUGCACACGAUUCUUUUUCGUGUAAGUGGAAAUGCUCAAAUUUGUAUAUUACUGUCUUUGCCACAAAUGGGUUAGUGGUGACUGAAUUAUCGUUUGGUCUCUUUAGCUGCCAAAAUAUAACAGGUAAUUGAGUUUAACAUCAACUAAUGUUUUUGUUUUAUUUUUAAUAAGCCAAAUUAAAAAAAUCUAAAUAAUUUUUAAAUGCUGUUAACGUAGAAGAGCUCAUGAAAAACACCUGUUAACUUACAACUAAAAAAACAUCAUCUUAGUCAGGCCUGGUGGCCCACACCUGUAAUCCCAACACUUNNNNNNNNNNAACACUUUGGGAAGCCAAGGCAGGUGGAUCACCUAAGGUCAGGAGUUUGAGACCUGCCUGGCUAACAUGGUGAAACCCUAUCUCUACUAAAAAUACAAAAAUUAGCUGGGCGUGGUGGUGCAUGCCUGUAGUCCCAGCUCCUGGGGCUGAGGCAGGAGAAUCGCUUGAACCCAAGAGGUGGAGGUUGCAGUGAGCCAA
rnacentral:lncRNA from 1 species